rnacentral:Y_RNA from 1 species
GGCUGGUCCGAGUGUAGCGGUGUUUGCAACUAAUGGAUCACAACCAGUUACAGAUUCCUUUGUUCCUUCUCCACUCCCACUGCUUCACUUGACUAGCCUAAA